rnacentral:rRNA from 1 species
GACGAACGCUGGCGGCGUGCUUAACACAUGCAAGUCGAACGGAAAGGCCCUGCUUUUGUGAGGUGCUCGAGUGGCGAACGGGUGAGUAACACGUGAGUAACCUGCCCUUGACUUUGGGAUAACUUCAGGAAACUGGGGCUAAUACCGGAUAGGAGCUCCUGCUGCAUGGUGGGGGUUGGAAAGUUUCGGCGGUUGGGGAUGGACUCGCGGCUUAUCAGCUUGUUGGUGGGGUAGUGGCUUACCAAGGCUUUGACGGGUAGCCGGCCUGAGAGGGUGAUCGGCCACAUUGGGACUGAGAUACGGCCCAGACUCCUACGGGAGGCAGCAGUGGGGAAUAUUGCACAAUGGGCGGAAGCCUGAUGCAGCAACGCCGCGUGCGGGAUGACGGCCUUCGGGUUGUAAACCGCUUUCGCCUGUGACGAAGCGUGAGUGACGGUAAUGGGUAAAGAAGCACCGGCUAACUACGUG